rnacentral:rRNA from 1 species
GGACCCGCACAAGCAGUGGAGCAUGUGGUUUAAUUCGACGCAACGCGAAGAACCUUACCAGCGUUUGACAUGAGAAGUGCCGGUUACAGAAUGGUAACCUUCAGUUCGGCUGGCUUCUACACAGGUGCUGCAUGGCUGUCGUCAGCUCGUGUCGUGAGAUGUUGGGUUAAGUCCCGCAACGAGCGCAACCCUUAUCGUUAGUUACUAACAGUUCGGCUGAGGACUCUAGCGAAACUGCCGGUGAUAAGCCGGAGGAAGGUGGGGAUGACGUCAAGUCCUCAUGGCCCUUACACGCUGGGCUACACACGUGCUACAAUGGUAACUACAACGGGACGCAAUACCGCGAGGGGAUGCG